CACUUCUGACUCACAGCCUACGAACUCACCAAUCGAUUUGGUUAUUUUUCAACAUUCAGGGCAUGCAGAGGUGCCAAUUAGAUCCAUUUGUGGCAGCAUUUGUUGGAGGUCCGUAAGGAGCCAUGCGGGUCGAUGGCCGUCCGGUCAGUGGCUGAGGUGAAGAACGGCACCAAAUGGAGCACAGCGGGGAGAGUUCUUCACCUACGCUGGUGUCAAACGCCCCCUUACUGCCAAUAAGAGGAAGAUGAGAGGCCAAAAUCACCAACACUCCCUGAUGAAUAAAUAAUAAAUUAGUGAGAGAUCCAAAAACGUCCACCAGUGGAUGCCAACCUAGUUUACAAACUAUCUCACAAUAACAGACUCUGCUUCACGAGAGAGAAUACAAAUUGAAGAUAUCCGAGAUAU